GGGAACAAACUCGAUAUUAUUCUCUCCCCACAGUUCUUCGUCUGUCCCAUGGAUUCAUGCACCCCUAAGGGUCUUCCCUUUAUUGCUGUAGGAAGAGCAAAGUAUUUGGAACGUACGUGCGCCCUUCAGUUAAAGGGAAACAGCCAUGCGUGAAAAAGACCCAAUCUCUGCUUCGAUCAAACUUGUCUUCUAGUCAGGGGGAAAACACUGCAAACUGUCAGGUCAGUUGGUGUCUCUUGAUGACAAUGAAGAAACCGUUUGCAGGACAUGUAUGCUGAUGGCGAUGAUCAAUGGAGAAGGAGAAACUGAUGUUGUAGAAGAGAAGAGAAGUACAAAAGGGAAUUCAUAGAAGGCAAGAGGGAUAGGAUCCAAAUGUGUCAAUAUUCACUUGAUAGAGUUACAUCCAUAGGCAGAUAUUGAGCAAGAACCUGAGAACCCCCAUACGCUAAGGUACCAUGGAUAAGCGAGAUGGUCCCUUUCUUCUAAAAGUUAUAGCAGGGGCUGGCCCCGUGGCCGAGUGGUUAAGUUCGCGCGUUCCACUGCAGGCGGCCCAGUGUUUCGUUGGUUCG